rnacentral:lncRNA from 1 species
UAAGUGAUUCUCCCAAUCCCUGAAAUAAACUCCUUUACCUCUUAUCUCUUCUUUUUCUGUUAUACCUGAUCCACCUAGGGAAGCACAAUUCCGCUGCUGGCCCUCCUGGGAAGCAUGUCCUGAGGCCCACCUUACAAGUGAUGCCCCUGCCUCUGCCCUGGCCACCCCAUCAUGGCUCCAUUGAUAUCUGUGCUCCCUCAGUCCAGAACUUUCACUCAAACUCAUAAGAGAAGUGAAUAGAUGGCUGGUUGAAGCACAUGGAAGUCCAUAUACAUCCAAGAAGAGGCUUCUACAAAUUUCACAUGGAUUCUCAGAACCAAAACUACAUUGCCAGAAAAGAUCCACCUUCAUUCUGUCAUGCACAACAGUGUUUACUUGUUCCUUACAAGAAAACAAGGUGCCCUCACCCAGGCCCAUGGCUUCCAGAAUUCCAGUUUAGAACCUUGAGCUACCCACCCUGUAUCAAAGCAUCAGGUGGGUGCUAAAGAUCAGGCAAGACAUUGGGUUUUUAGGUUCGCUUCUGUUUAAAAUGUUUUUCAGCAGCAGGCAUCGCCUCCCUCAAGCUAAGUUCUUCAUCCCACAGUUCAUGCACAAUUUCUUGCCAUGUUUGAUAACCGCUCAGAACCUUAAUUGGUGUCGUUUUGUUCCAACAUUUGUUAACAACAGCAAAUUACUUAUGGAUGAGGCAUCGCCAGUAAAAUUGCUAAGCAGAGAAGUUUCUCUACUUUUGUGAAAGAAAUAAAAGAGUAGCAGAGGGCA